GAGCGACCCCAGGUCAGGCGGGACCACCCGCUGAGUUUAAGCAUAUCAAUAAGCGGAGG
rnacentral:rRNA from 1 species